AGGCUCCUUUCUUUGAAGGUUAUUUUGCUCUGGAGCCCACACACGAGCUAUUUGGAAAUCUAAGAAAUACUGUAAAUCUUCUAUUGGUGGCUUGUAUUCUAAGUAUAACUCAAUUGCGCGGCUCAGGUACUUAAUUCCAGGCACCUCUUCAAGAAAUGACACAAUGGGAGUAAAAGUCAUGUUGAUCACAUCUGGUGAUGUUUCUACAGUGCUUGCCCACUUGUCGUGACUCUGCUCCAGGUCAUCACCUCCUCUUCUGCGAAAAAUAACUGUAACAUCCUUGUCCUUAUAUCUUAAAGGUCCAGCACUUGAGAGAUUCUUCGAAUCAGAGAACCUCUGCUCUCCAAUGUCGUUCACAUAGUUUUCAAUUUCUG
rnacentral:misc_RNA from 1 species